GGGGAUGUUUUUUAUUUGAUGUCAGAUGAAGUGAUAUAUGGCAAGUUGAGUUCGUGAUCUCGUAAAAAAUUGCAAUAAAAUAAGUGCAGAAAACACUUUUGCCAAAGUAAAAGAACUUUNNNNNNNNNCUAGCUUUGCGCCAGUCUUGGCCUAAAGUGCCUCGACCGUGGCUAGGCUAAUCAGCCUGAGAUUGACUAGCAACGUAUUAUUUUUCAGGCUAAGGAUAUUUGGUGUUAGUAUAAAUAUCUCAAAAAUUACUAACUAACUCGAUUAUUGAUUUUUUGUUAAUUUUAGAGCCAAUGAUUUAAAAUAUAAAAUUAACUAAACUUGUAGAAAUGUAUUAGGACAUUUGUCAGACAGGGGUGUGAUACCCCUCAUCUCCACCA
rnacentral:tmRNA from 1 species